ensembl:lncRNA
GGCGAGGAGCCAGCACAGCCCGGAGCGGCUGCAGCCUGAUGGCGGGGCCCAGGACUCAGAUUGCUCUCUCAGUAUGGAUUCAUGCAGACUGGUGGCUAGUGAACUUCAGAACUGUUUUAAAAAGGCCUCGCACUGCUACAGGAUGCUGAGCAGUUCCCCAGUCUCCAGUCGGGAGCAGCAGGAGAUGUCUCAUGUUCUGAUGGAGGCAUUCCAGUCUGUGCAGAUGGAGCUGAACACUCUGCCCUGCCCUGUGUCAGGUGGCUGGAGCAGCAGCUCUGUGUGCAGCACGCCACUGGGCGCGGGCAUGGGGGUUGGCGUGAGCGAUGACCGCACCCUGGCCCUGCUGGAGCAGUACUCCCAGCUCCUGCUCCGUGCUGUGGAGAAGAGGAUGGACAGCAGAGUGUGACAUCUACACCUUUCUCUCACGCUCCUUAAACCCUGCACACACACUCUUCACAUACUUAUGCGGUGCGCCGAGGCCGGAUCCCAACCCCAGCUGCCGCUACUCUUAACCGAGGGUUUUAGUUCGUGAACAGAUCACAUUUUAAAAAAGAUUCCACUAAUGAGAUCUGUAUUCAUUUUAUUUCACUUUUCCUUUCGACUAGUUUACCUGUUGUGAUCAGUUUUGUGUGUUUUUGGGGGUUUUUUUUGUUCUGUGAGGGUUUGGUGGAGAGUUGGUGAGUGUGUCCUGCUGCGCUAAAACUUUCUGACUGACCAACACAGGUGGUACAACUCAGGCCUUCCGUACCCCGGUGAGCUUGACCACACCAUUAACACCCUACCUCCUGUCAGCGCACUGUACCUGCACCUGAUGGACUUG